CUUUUUGCCUUUUCUAGGGCCGCUCCCGUGGCAUAUGGAGGUUCCCAGGCUAGGGGUCUAAUUGGAGGUGUAGCCACUGGCCUACGCCAGAGCCACAGCAAUGCAGGAUCAGGGCCGCAUCUGCGACCUACACCACAGCUCACGGCAACGCCAGAUCCUUAACCCACUGAGCAAGGCCAGGGAUUGAACCCUCAACCUCAUCAUUCCUAGUCGGAUUCUUUAACCGCUGAGCCACGAUGGGAACUCCUUUUUUUUUUUUUUAACUGAAGUAUAACAGACAUCAGUCAAAGGCACUUACGUCUUUGCACAGCAGGAGAUUCACACUUACUCAUCUUCAAUUUCAACAUCAAUGCACUUUCCCAGUCCCUGUGGUUGUGGGCAAAUCAUCCGAAAACUUAGUGGCUUAAGGAUGACAUUUAUUUUGCUUAAGAAUCUGCAAUUCCCCUGGGGCUUAUCGGGGAGAGCUGUUUUAAAGACCCCAUCUGCCCCCAGGCAGCUGUAGGCCAGGACAGAAACGUUUGUUUGGCCAGAGCCAUCUAGGCUUGGCAGGGGGUGGUGGUGAUGGGGAAUGUAGGAGGGGUGUCACAGGCUGCCAAGGCCUGUGGAGCCACUGUAUUCCCUUAUUCUGGGCCCUUACACUGGAGGGAAUGGAAAACAGGAGGUGAGAUCCACAAAGAACAAAUGACCCAGUCUGGUUAUCCAAGGUUACUGGCAGUUAAAUUAGAUAGGACGAGUUUAAUUAGUUAGGCUGACUUAGAAAGGGGACAAAUUGGUACCUGGGAUUUCACAACAUGCCUCACAGCCGGGUCUUGAAUCUCCAGUGCCCUUGGCAUCUCUGGCAUGGGGACCAGUCCAGCACAUUCUGAUUUACACUCAGCCUCAACCCCAGCUGUCCCAGGGCAGAUGCAGGAAGGAAUGGGUUGCAGAGAAGGCCCAGCUGAGAUCCGCAGCUGGGAGGGGAGUUCCUGUCCCCGCCCCCUGGCCUGCAGGAUGAGUCUCUUCAUAGAACAGGCUUUCAUUUUAUUUAUCAAGACUCAGUGGGUUUUUUUUUCUGUUCAGCUCAUUUAUGUUUCUUUUUAUCCUUGUGCAUACAUUUUAAAACACAGUCCUCACAUCUUAUUCUCUUUUUCUAAUGUCUUGUGUUGAAAACAUCUCAUUUAUAUUCAUUCCUUCUUGCCCAGAGGUGACCCCAGGCAGUGGCCAUAUCCUGGGAAUUUGGCUGGGCAGUUUUCUCAUCAUUCCUAUCUACGUAAUUGCAGUUUCCAUUUCUUCUGUGACCCAACGUUUAUUUAGGAGAGUGUUUUUAUUUUGAGUUUUCAAGUGGGUAGAUAUUUAAGGUAUGAUUUGCACAUAGUGCCUUUUAAAAAUUUAAUGGUAGUUAUUAACUUGUACAUUUAUUGCACUGAGGUUUUAGAACUUGGGUAUACUUUCUGCCUCUUGGUGUUUAUUGAGGUUUUCCCUAUGGCCCAAUAUAUAAUCUGUUUUUAUAAAUAUUUCUUUCCUUUUUUUUUUUCUUUUAAAGGGCUGUACCCCCAGCAUAUGGAAAUUCCCAGGCUAGGGGCUGAAUCAGAGCUGCAGCUGCUGGGCUACACCACAGCCACAGGAACUUGGGAUCAGACUGCAGCAGCUCACGGCAAUGCUGGAUUCUUAAUCUACUGAGUGGGGCCAGGGAUCGAACUGAGUCAGGAUACUAGUCAGGAUACUAGUCCUCAUGGACUAGUCAGGUUCGUUUUUGCUGAGCCACAACGGGAACUCUCUAUAAAUAUUUCUUUCUUUUUUGUUGUUUUCUGUUUGUUUGUUUGUUUGUUUGUUUGUUUAGGGCCACACUCGCAGCAUAUGGAAGUUCCCAGUCUAGGGAUCAAGACAGAGCUAUAGCUCCUGGCCUACAAUACAGUCACAGCAAUGCCAGAUCCAAGGCGCAUCUGAAACCUACACCAAAACUCAUGGCAUUGAGGGAUCCUUAACCCACUGAGUGAGGCCAGGGAUUGAACCUGCAUCUUCAUGGAUACUAGUCAGAUUCACUUCCACUGAGCCACAAUGGGAACUCCUCUAUAAAUAUUUCUUGACUGCUGACUCCUGGGAAGGAACUCCCUUCAGCAUAUGGAGUUCCUGGGCCAGGGAUCAGAUCCUAGCCAUAAUUGCAACCUAAGCUGCAGCUACGUUUAUACCAGAUCCUUAACUCACUGUGCUGGGCUGGGGAUUGAACCUGUACCUAUGCAGCUGUUCUGACACACUCGAUCUUACUUUUUUUUUUUUUUUUUUUCCCAGUGGCUAUGGUGUGUGGAAUUUUCCCAACCAGGGAUCCAACCAGAGCCAUAGCAGCAACCUGAGCCAUCGCAGUGGCAACGCCAGAUUGUUUAAUCCCUAGGCCACAGGAAGCUCCUCAGUCUUACUUUUAACAUAUCCCGUUUCCAUGCUUUCUGAUUUUUAUGCUGUCUUGCUCUUUCCUUUGCUUUCUGUCCUUUGAUCUCUAGAUUUUGUUAUCUUUGGUGAUUAUCUCCAGGGUUAUGAGCAUAGUGUUGAGGGCAUCUUGGUCAUUUUGGCAGAAGGAAGGUGCUUAAAAAUGUGAUCUAUUUUGUGAAUUCCAUCAAAAAAUCAUCUCAGCAUCAGAGGGAAAAUGGGCCCCUGCCAGUUGCCUCCAUGAUUCUAGUCAUUACAGGGGAGAGUCAUGCAGCGUUUACAGAUAUACUUCGUGGAGCCAAGAGACCUGGCUUCAAAUCCAGGCUCUAUCACCCUCAUAUUUUGUUAUCUUUGGAGAUUUUUUAAAAAUUUAAUUUUAUUGGAGUAUAGUUGACUUACAAUGUUGUAUGAGUUUCAGGUGUCCAACAAAGUCAAUCAGUCACACAUAUGAACAUAUACAUUCUUUUUUCUUAUAUAGGUUAUUACAAACUAUUGAGUAGAUUUUCCUGUGCUAUGCAGUACAUUCUCAUUAAUUGUCAUGUUAUACAGUAGUGUGUAUAUCUAUUGUAGAUAUACACCCUCUCAAUUCUUCCCUCCCCCAACACAUUUUUGGAAGUCAUUUUUUAUUCUAUUAUUGGGAUUCUAUUAGAUCAUCACCUAUAUUAAAACUGAUUAGUUUAGAAAAGUUUCCUCUUUACCUGGUCUCUCAUCCACUCACUUUUUUCCUUAACAAAACAGUUAGCUGGCAUUUUUGUAUCCAAAUUAUUGGCAUGAAACUAUUAUGAUGUUAUGUACUUUCAGCCUGAAGCAUAAUUCUUGGCAUUCAUAUUCAAUUUUGUAACUAGAUUCACAACAACAAUUUAGGUUGAUCUCUUCUUAAAACCGGUGAAUGUGCUCACCAUCCACUUUGACACCAUAUCUUUCUCACUUUUAGAAACGUUUUCGUUUUUUUUUGGCUGCAACCACAGCAUGUGGAAGUUCCCAGGCCAGGGAUCGAAACUGUGUCACAGCAGCCACCCCAGCCACAGCCGUGACCACUCCAGAUCCUUAACCCACUGUGCCACAAGAGAACUCCUUUUUGGUUUUGUUGUUGUUGUUGUUGUUGCUGUUUUUUUUUGGUCAUACCACCGCAUGUGAAGUUCCCAGGCCAAGGAUCUAACCUGUGCCACAGCAGAAACCUGAGCCUCAGUAGGAACAAUGCUGGAUCCCUAAUCUGCUGAGCCACUGGGGCACUCGUCUUGCUUUUUGAAACUUUUAAGCUGUCUCAUAUCUGAUUCAAUAGGCAGUAUGUUUUCGAGAAUGUGUUUUGGUGGUAAACAGCUGACCCUUGAAAAACAUGGGUUUAAACUUCAUGGAUCUCCUUAUAUGUGGAUUGUUUUUGAUGGUAAAUACUAUGGCACUUCACGGUUCGAGGUUGGUUGAGUCUAAAGAUUGGAACCUCGGAUACCAAAGGACAGACUGGAAAGUUAUAAUUUGCUUUGGACUGAAUGUUUGUGUCUCACCUAAAUUCAUGUGUUGAAAUCCGGCUGCCAAGGUAGAAGUACUAGGAGGUGGGACCUUCGGGAGGUGAUUGGGUCAUGCAGAUGGAGCCCUCGUGAAUGGGAUUAGUGUCCUUAUAAGAAGAAACUCUCCUUUCCCACUGUGUGAGGACAUGUCAAAUCAGCAGCCUGCAAGCCCUGAUAAAAGGAAGCCUAGAGAUCUCUCACCCCUUCCUCCAUGUGAAGACAGAGAGAAGGCGCUGCCCAUGAACUAGGGUGCCCUCAGCAGACACCAAAUCUGACAGCACCUUAAUCUUGAGCUUCUCAGCCUCCAGAACAGUGAGAAAUAAAUUUGUUGUUUAAGACACGCUGUCUGUGGAGUUUUUCUUAUAGCAGCAGUGGAAAACACUAAGAUAUAUUCUUGGGUUAUUAGCAUUCCUUUAAAAGAUUUUUGUAAGUAACAUCUUUAGAAGUCUUCUGAUAUUCAGUGUUACCUGAAGUCUACCUUGGUUUUCUUUAUGGAGACUGUUUUAUGCUUCCCCACCCCAUCUUUAUAUUUGAAGGACUGAAAGUGGGAAGGUAAAAUGGUAUAGUAACUCUGAAAAGAGAUUUGGCAUUUUUUUUAACAAAACUAAAUGUACUAAAGGUUUAUAAAUGUUAUUCAUUGCAUUGAUUAACCAGACUUUUUUGCCUCAUUGCUGUUUUUCUAUUGUUGUUAUUUCAAUUUCUUUUUUUUUUCUUUUUUGGCUGCACCCCAGCAGAUGGACGUUCCCCAACCAGGGAUUGAAUCCAAGCUGCCAUUGUGACCUAGACUACAUCUGCAGCAAUGCUGGAUCCUUAAUCCCCCGUGCCACAGAGGGAACUCCCAGUUUCAUUGACUUUUUAAAAUUUAACAAUCUAAUUGAUAUAUAAGUCACAUGCCAUAAAAUCACACACUGGAAAUGUACAAUUCAAUGGUUUUAGUAUGUUCACUGAACUGUGCGACCAUCAUCACAAUGCAUGGAUUAUAUAGAAGCAUGUUGUUUAAUUUUCAGUCACUGUUUGUAGAUUUUCUUGUGUUUUUGGCAUUGAGCGCUAGUCUGAUUCCAUCUUGGCCAGAGGACACACUCUGUACAACUAUCUGCAAGUUUUAAAAGAGCAGAUUGUUCAUCUGCCUAA
rnacentral:lncRNA from 1 species